rnacentral:rRNA from 1 species
AGGGAGACGAGGUGGUGGCAUGGUUGUCGUCAGCUCGUGUCGUGAGAUGUUGGGUUAAGUCCCGCAACGAGCGCAACCCCUACGUUUAGUUGCUAACGCGUGAAGGCGAGCACUCUAGACGAACUGCCGUUGACAAACGGAGGAAGGUGGGAUGACGUCAAAUCAUCAUGCCCCUUAUGUUCUGGGCUACACACGUGCUACAAUGGCCGGUACAGACGGACGCAAAGCCGCGAGGUGGAGCAAAUCCUAAAAAGCCGGUCUCAGUUCGGAUUGCAGGCUGCAAUUCGCCUGCAUGAAGUCGGAAUCGCUAGUAAUCGCAGGUCAGCAUACCUGCGGUGAAUACGUUCCCGGGCCUU